GAACGCAUAUUGCGCUCUUUGGUAUUCCGAAGAGCAUGCUUGUUUGAGUAUCAGUAAACACCUCAAAACUCUUGAUCUUUUUCAAGCGUUUUGGACUUGAGCAAACCCAACGCCUUUUCUUUUAAGAUCUGUUGCGGCGGGUUGUUUGAAAUGCAUGUGCAGCUGGACAAUCUCCUGAGCUAAAAGCAUAUUUAUUUAGUCCCGUCAAACGGAUUAUUACUUUUGCUGCAGCUAAUAUAAAGGGAGUUUGACCGUAUUGGCUGACUGAUGCAGGAUUUCACAAGGGUCGGCAACGAUUCUUGUAAAACUCGAUCUCAAAUCAAGUAAGACUACCCGCUGAACUUAAG
rnacentral:misc_RNA from 1 species